GAUGAACGCUGGCGGCGUGCCUAAUACAUGCAAGUCGAGCGAACAGAUGAGGAGCUUGCUCCUCUGACGUUAGCGGCGGACGGGUGAGUAACACGUGGAUAACCUACCUAUAAGACUGGGAUAACUUCGGGAAACCGGAGCUAAUACCGGAUAAUAUAUUGAACCGCAUGGUUCAAUAGUGAAAGACGGUUUUGCUGUCACUUAUAGAUGGAUCCGCGCUGCAUUAGCUAGUUGGUAAGGUAACGGCUUACCAAGGCAACGAUGCGUAGCCGACCUGAGAGGGUGAUCGGCCACACUGGAACUGAGACACGGUCCAGACUCCUACGGGAGGCAGCAGUAGGGAAUCUUCCGCAAUGGGCGAAAGCCUGACGGAGCAACGCCGCGUGAGUGAUGAAGGUCUUCGGAUCGUAAAACUCUGUUAUUAGGGAAGAACAAAUGUGUAAGUAACUAUGCAGGUCUUGACGGUACCUAAUCAGAAAGCCACGGCUAACUACGUG
rnacentral:rRNA from 1 species